GAUGAACGCUGGCGGCGUGCCUAAUACAUGCAAGUCGAGCGAACUGAUUAGAAGCUUGCCUCUAUGACGUUAGCGGCGGACGGGUGAGUAACACGUGGGCAACCUGCCUGUAAGACUGGGAUAACUUCGGGAAACCGAAGCUAAUACCGGAUAGGAUCUUCUCCUUCAUGGGAGAGGAUUGAAAGAUGGUUUCGGCUAUCACUUACAGAUGGGCCCGCGGUGCAUUAGCUAGUUGGUGAGGUAACGACUCACCAAGGCAACGAUGCAUAGCCGACAUGAGAGGGUGUGCGGCCACACUGGGACUGGGACACGGCCCAGACUCCUACGGGAGGCAGCAGUAGGGAAUCUUCCGCAAUGGACGAAAGUCUGACGGAGCAACGCCGCGUGAGUGAUGAAGGCUUUCGGGUCGUAAAACUCUGUUGUUAGGGAAGAACAAGUACAAGAGUAACUGCUUGUACCUUGACGGUACCUAACCAGAAAGCCACGGCUAACUACGUGCCAGCAGCCGCCGUAACAC
rnacentral:rRNA from 1 species